rnacentral:rRNA from 1 species
GACAGAGGGUGCAAACGUUGUUCGGAAUUACUGGGCGUAAAGCGAGUGUAGGCGGUCUGAUAAGUCGGAUGUGAAAGCCCCGGGCUCAACCCGGGAAGUGCACUCGAUACUGUCAGGCUAGAGUAUCGGAGAGGUUGGUGGAAUUCUCGGUGUAGAGGUGAAAUGCGUAGAUAUAGGAAGGAACACCAGUGGCGAAGGCGACCACCUGGACUGAUACUGACACUGAGGUGCGAAAGCGUGGGGAGCAAACAGG